GCGCCGCUAGCUCAACUGGCAGAGCAGCUGACUCUUAAUCAGCGGGUUCGGGGUUCAAGUCCCUGGCGGCGCA
rfam:Streptomyces cattleya DSM 46488, complete genome.